UGGGGAAUAUUGGGCAAUGGGGGAAACCCUGACCCAGCAACGCCGCGUGAAGGACGAAGGCCUUCGGGUUGUAAACUUCUUUGAUCAGGGACGAAAGCAAUGACGGUACCUGAAGAACAAGCCACGGCUAACUACGUGCCAGCAGCCGCGGUAAUACGUAGGUGGCGAGCGUUAUCCGGAUUUACUGGGUGUAAAGGGCGUGUAGGCGGGUUUGCAAGUCGGGUGUGAAAGAUUCGGGCUUAACCCGGAGAGGUCAUCCGAAACUGCAGAUCUUGAGUGCUGGAGAGGAUAGUGGAAUUCCUGGUGUAGCGGUAAAAUGCGUAGAGAUCAGGAGGAACACCAGUGGCGAAGGCGGCUAUCUGGACAGUAACUGACGCUGAGGCGCGAAAGCGUGGGGAGCAAACAGG
rnacentral:rRNA from 3 species